UACGUAGGGCGCAAGCGUUGUCCGGAAUUAUUGGGCGUAAAGAGCUCGUAGGCGGCCUGUUGCGUCCGCUGUGAAAUCCCGGGGCUCAACCCCGGGCCUGCAGUGGAUACGGGCUGGCUAGAGGCAGGCAGGGGAGAACGGAAUUCCUGGUGUAGCGGUGAAAUGCGCAGAUAUCAGGAGGAACACCGGUGGCGAAGGCGGCCUGCUGGGCAGUAGCCGAAAGGCUUGAAAGCUGACGCUGAGGCGCGACAGCGUGGGGAGCAAACAGG
rnacentral:rRNA from 1 species